rnacentral:misc_RNA from 1 species
AAGUCGUAACAAGGUUUCCGUAGGUGAACCUGCGGAAGGAUCAUUAUUGAUUUGGCUCCGGCCUCAUGACCCUUACUACCCUUCCUGCUGAACCGAUGCCCUCCGGCGUUUUUCAAACAUUGUGUGACGAACGUGAAAAUGAUAAUAAAAUAAAA